rfam:Schistosoma mattheei strain Denwood, Zambia genome assembly, scaffold: SMTD_scaffold0005190
GCACUGCUGAAGAAUCUCAUGAUAAGACGAGACGGCCGUCCAGUGC